rnacentral:rRNA from 1 species
UACGUAGGGGGCAAGCGUUGCUCGGAAUCACUGGGCGUAAAGCGCACGUAGGCGGCUUCUUAAGUCAGGGGUGAAAUCCUGGAGCUCAACUCCAGAACUGCCUUUGAUACUGGCGAUCUUGAGUCCGGGAGAGGUGAGUGGAACUGCGAGUGUAGAGGUGAAAUUCGUAGAUAUUCGCAAGAACACCAGUGGCGAAGGCGGCUCACUGGCCCGGUACUGACGCUGAGGUGCGAAAGCGUGGGGAGCAAACAGG